rnacentral:rRNA from 1 species
GAGUUUGAUCUUGGCUCAGAUUGAACGCUGGCGGCAGGCCUAACACAUGCAAGUCGAGCGGAUGACGGGAGCUUGCUCCUUGAUUCAGCGGCGGACGGGUGAGUAAUGCCUAGGAAUCUGCCUGGUAGUGGGGGACAACGUUUCGGAAAGGAACGCGUAAAUACCGCAUACGUCCUACGGGAGAAAGCAGGGGACCUUCGGGCCUUGCGCUAUCAGAUGAGCCUAGGUCGGAUUAGCUAGUUGGU